rnacentral:rRNA from 1 species
UGGGGAAUAUUGCACAAUGGGCGCAAGCCUGAUGCAGCCAUGCCGCGUGUGUGAAGAGGCCUUCGGGUUGUAAAGCACUUUCAGCGAGGAGGAAGGUGGUGAACUUAAUACGUUCAUCAAUUGACGUUACUCGCAGAAGAAGCACCGGCUAACUCCGUGCCAAGCAGCCGCGGUAAUACGGAGGGUGCAAGCGUUAAUCGGAAUUACUGGGCGUAAAGCGCACGCAGGCGGUUUGUUAAGUCAGAUGUGAAAUCCCCGGGCUCAACCUGGGAACUGCAUUUGAAACUGGCAAGCUAGAGUCUCGUAGAGGGGGGUAGAAUUCCAGGUGUAGCGGUGAAAUGCGUAGAGAUCUGGAGGAAUACCGGUGGCGAAGGCGGCCCCCCUGGACGAAGACUGACGCUCAGGUGCG